rnacentral:rRNA from 1 species
UAGGGAAUAUUGGACAAUGGGGGCAACCCUGAUCCAGCCAUGCCGCGUGAGUGAAGAAGGCCCUCGGGUUGUAAAGCUCUUUUGUCCGGAAAGAAAAGCAUUCGGUGAAUACCCGGAUGUUCUGACGGUACCGGAAGAAUAAGCACCGGCUAACUUCGUGCCAGCAGCCGCGGUAAUACGAAGGGUGCAAGCGUUACUCGGAAUUACUGGGCGUAAAGCGUGCGUAGGUGGUUGUUUAAGUCUGAUGUGAAAGCCCUGGGCUCAACCUGGGAAUGGCAUUGGAAACUGGGCAGCUAGAGUGCGGUAGAGGGUAGUGGAAUUCCCGGUGUAGCAGUGAAAUGCGUAGAGACCGGGAGGAACAUCUGUGGCGAAGGCGACUGCCUGGACCAGCACUGACACUGAGGCACGAAAGCGUGGGGAGCAAACA